rnacentral:lncRNA from 1 species
GGGCUCUGUUCAUUUUCAUCUGUCACCGGCCGUAGUCCUCAUCUCAAUGGUCCACGCCCAUCUUUAAUAUGUGUUCCGGAUCUCACACCCUAACCGCCCCCAACCAGCAAGAUGCUUAGUAGACGGAUGCGGUGCUGACAUCUUCUCUUGUAAUGACACUGUCAACAGACGGAGAUGUGCCACGGUGAAUUUUCCGGAUCCCGAGGACACGGGGCAUAUUAGAUUUGAAAUGAAGCUGAAGAGGCAGGCGUAGCUCAGUGAUAAAGUGGCUCAAGGAUAAAGCGUUUGCCUUGUGUCUGGAGGCCCUGGGCUCCACACCCCUCUCACCAAAAAAGAAAAAGAAAAAAAGAAAAAUUUAAAGUUGAC